rnacentral:rRNA from 1 species
GGAUGCGAUCAUACCAGCACUAAAGCACCGGAUCCCAUCCGAACUCCGAAGUUAAGCGUGCUUUGGCGAGAGUAGUACUAGGAUGGUGACCUCCUGGGAAGUCCUCGUGUUGCAUUCC